GACGAUUGGAAGUAAAAGUCGUAACAAGGUUUCCGUAGGUGAACCUGCGGAAGGAUCAUUACAGAAAGUAAACGCGGAUCGAACCGCGAACUUCUAAACCUUUGACGAUUGACUCAUGUUGCCUCGGCGGGUUCUCCCGCCAGAGGAUACAUCAAAACUCCUGUUUUAACGGUGUUGUCUGAGCUACAAGCAACGAAUCAAAACUUUCAACAACGGAUCUCUUGGUUCUGGCAUCGAUGAAGAACGCAGCGAAAUGCGAUAAGUAGUGUGAAUUGCAGAAUUCAGUGAAUCAUCGAAUCUUUGAACGCACAUUGCGCCCCUUGGUAUCCCGAGGGGCAUGCCUGUUCGAGCGUCAUUUCACCACUCAAGCCUGGCUUGGUGUUGGGCGACGUCCCCUUUGGGGACGCGCCUCGAAACGCUCGGCGGCGUGGCACCGGCUUUAAGCGUAGCAGAAUCUUUCGCUUUAAAAGUCGGGGCCCCGUCUGCCGGAAGACCUACUCGCAAGGUUGACCUCGGAUCAGGCAGGGAUACCCGCUGAACUUAAGCAUAUCAAUAAGCGGAGGAAAGAAACCAAC
rnacentral:rRNA from 1 species